rnacentral:rRNA from 1 species
CCGACGGUGAGGGAUGAAAGCUGGGGGAGCAAACCGGAUUAGAUACCCGGGUAGUCCCAGCUGUAAACGAUGCGCGUUAGGUGUGUCAGUGACCACGUGUCACUGAUGUGCCGAAGGGAAACCGUGAAACGCGCCGCCUGGGGAGUACGGUCGCAAGGCUGAAACUUAAAGGAAUUGGCGGGGGAGCACCACAACGGGUGGAGCCUGUGGUUUAAUCGGACUCAACGCCGGAAAUCUCACCGGAUAA